rnacentral:rRNA from 1 species
ACGCGAAAGUCCCCUUCGGGGGAUGAGUAGAGUGGCGCACGGGUGAGUAACACGUAGGUAAUCUACCUUCGGAUGGGGAAUAACAACCGGAAACGGUUGCUAAUACCGCAUAAUGCAGCGGCACCUAAUGGUGACAGUUGUUAAAGCGGGGGAUCGUAAGACCUCGCGUCUGAAGAGGAGCCUGCGGCAGAUUAGCUAGUUGGUAAGGUAAUGGCUUACCAAGGCGAUGAUCUGUAGCCGGCCUGAGAGGGCGGUCGGCCACACUGACACUGACAUACGGGUCAGACUCCUACGGGAGGCAGCAGUCGGGAAUUUUGGGCAAUGGGCGAAAGCCUGACCCAGCAACGCCGCGUGAAGGAUGAAAUCCUUCGGGAUGUAAACUUCGCAAGAACGGGAAGAAUAAGUAGGGGACAAUACCCCCUAUGAUGACGGUACUGUUUGUAAGCUCCGGCUAACUCCGUGCCAGCAGCCGCGGUAAUACGGGGGGAGCAAGCGUUG